UAUGGUUCUGGUUCCAGUCUAUCAGAUUCGAUUCUGGGAGGCGGUGAGUCCUAUACACCGACGUCGCCAGCUUAGUUUCCGAGAACCAGUGGCUCCGACAGCAUCGGUUUCGUCAGCUUUAGUUUCUGGGAAUCGGUGGCUCUGAAAGCACCGUGUUCUCCGGCUUAUCGAUGGUUGAUAUAUUUUUUUAAAGCGUGGAUCUGUGGUGGGUUUGACGGGUUUGAGGACGGUGUUUGGAUCGCGUCUCUUUCCGACGAUCUCGGCAUCUUGUUUCCGGUGUGUUUUCCGGUGGAUGCCGUUUUCUGUGUCGACGGCGUCUUGCAUGUCGGGGAAGAGCGGAGGCGAUCUGAUCUUACGACACGUGCCCUCGAGUGAAGGUUUCGAUAAGAUGGAGCGGCCUUGUGACACGUGUUCCUCUCUGGUGAGGAUCAUAAUACGUAUCCCGACCAUGAAUCACGUGUGGUUCGUUAUGGCGCUUAUGGGUUUGGGGUUUUGGGCUGCGGUCCACUUUAGUUUGCUAAGUUUGCCCUCUGUAUUGGGCUCUAUGUCCUUUUUGUAUGGUGUUGUUGGGCUUUGCCUUUGGACUUGGUCCAAUUAAUAAAAUCAUGAUGGAAAAAAAAAAAGACAGAUGGACCUACUUGUCAAGGUAAAGUUAACAAAAAAAUUUAUCAAAAACAAAUGAACUUAAUAUAGAUACUAUUUUUGAAAUUCACAUAAAAUUAACAAAUAAUUAUUUUUAAAAAGGAUAAUUUUAUAGGAAUUUUUUUUAGUUUAUUUUCACAAAAAUAGCAUUCAAGGAGAAAAAUGACCAAAUUUUUUUUACUAAAGGAUAUAAAUACAUUUAUACCCUAGGAUUAAUUAAUAUACUCUUAGGGUUUAGAGUUAAUGGGCCGGGUUUUGAAGAUAGAGUUUAAAAUUUUACAAAAUAAAUAAUAAAUAUUAAAAAAUUAAAAUAAAAAGGGCUAUUUGAUCAUUUUCUUCAUUGAAUGCUAUUUUGUGACAAAAAAAACUAAAAAAUACUAUUUGAGAGAAUUCAUUUUUUUUUAAUGAAAUGCAAUUUUAAAAUUGCAUAUAAAUCAAAUCAAAACAAAAAUCAUUUAAAAACCAUGAUAUAUACUAUUUUUAGAUCGUCAUAAAAUAAAUAAAAAAUAAUUAAGAAAGAAUAAGAGGGUGUAUUUAAUAUAACAUUUGAGGUGAUUUGACAUUUAAUAGAGUUUUAGAUGAUAUCAAUAAGUUGUAGAGUUUUAGGUGAUUUAUGUUAAACUACUUUAGAAUAUAACUUAAAACCAUGUGAUCUGAGUUUUAAUUUUUUAGCUAAGAAACUCCACCCAAACACCCUAAAAUCACCUGAAAAAUUUAAAGCUCCACAACUUAAAAUAUUUUUAGUAACAGUAGAUUUUAGAGUACUCUACAAAAUGUUAAGUUCAAUAACAGUAGAUUUUAAAUGAGUUUUUAAAAUUCAUGUUUGAAUAACAGUGAUUUGUCAUUUUAAUACAAAUCACCUAUAACCUCAUUUGAAUACACCCCCCUAAGACUUGAAAAAUAUAAUUUUUAAAAAGUUUGUAAAUUAUAAACUAGAUUAACAAAACUAACAUCAUUUAAAAUUAUGGGAAAUUUAAUGUUUAUCACUUUCAUGGUACCACUUUUCAUCUUUACCACCACUAAAGGGAUAUUUUCAAAAAUAUAUUCUUCAUUAAGUGGCAAAAGUCUCUUAUACCCUUAUUAUCUAUAUAUAUAAUAAAACAUUAUUUAAAUAAAAAAACAAAAAAAAACUUAUGUUUUCGAAUUAUACUUUUAAAUUCAAACUUUUU